rnacentral:lncRNA from 11 species
CUCCCUGCAUCUCUCUUCUCUUACCCCCUCCUUAUCCUCGCCUCCUUUUCUUCUUUUCUAUUCUCCCCUCUUCCUCCUCCUCUUUCUCCUCCUCCUCCUCCUCUCCCUCCCCCCCUCCUCCUCCUCUUGUGUGGUUUAGGAAGAGACACCAUAAGUCCUGCCUGCUUUCCUCAAGGCAGGGGAGAGGCAUGAAGCAAGUGAAGGGGAGCCUUCCGGGUUUUCUCCAACAGGGAAGGGAAGGAAAAGGAGGAGGGGCUUAUGUGUGGGUUCUUUUCCCCUGGAAGUUUGCCCAUGUUUCUGGCUUUAAUAUGCAGCACUAGAUUUACCAACCUCUUCUACAGAUGCUAAACAUUCAAUCCUGGAGGCUCCACUUCAUCAUCAGGUAAUUAGUAUUUUCAUUAACUUGCUUAUUGUCAAGGAAAAUGAGCCUU